rnacentral:rRNA from 1 species
GGACCCGCACAAGCAGUGGAGCAUGUGGUUUAAUUCGACGCAACGCGAAGAACCUUACCAGCGUUUGACAUGGGAAGUACCGGUUACAGAAUGGUAACCUUCAGUUCGGCUGGCUUCCACACAGGUGCUGCAUGGCUGUCGUCAGCUCGUGUCGUGAAAUGUUUGGUUAAGUCCUUUAACGAGCGCAACCCUUGUACUUAGUUGACUUUGGUGACUCUAAGUAGACUGCCCACUAGGAUAGUGGAGAAAGGUAAGGAUGACGUCAAGUCCUCAUGGCCCUUAUGAACUGGGCUACACACGUGUUACAAUGGUAAGAACAAUGAGAAGCGAUCUUGUAAAAGUGAGC